rnacentral:rRNA from 1 species
UACGUAGGGUGCGAGCGUUGUCCGGAAUUAUUGGGCGUAAAGAGCUCGUAGGCGGUGUGUCGCGUCGGCCGUGAAAACCUGCAGCUUAACUGUGGGCUUGCGGUCGAUACGGGCAUCACUGGAGUUCGGCAGGGGAGACUGGAAUUCCUGGUGUAGCGGUGAAGUGCGCAGAUAUCAGGAGGAACACCGGUGGCGAAGGCGGGUCUCUGGGCCGAUACUGACGCUGAGGAGCGAAAGCGUGGGGAGCGAACAGG